rnacentral:lncRNA from 1 species
GGAAAAGGGAGAUUAAGUUCCCUGCCCCUGGCUAGAACCCCAUAUUUUCAUUUUGCAAUGGAUCUUCUCUAUUACAUAGACAGCCUCACCUGGGCCUUUUCCCUAUUUCAACAUGUACCUUUGGGGAUUCACUAGAAUUAGGCCCCCACAUGAGGGGUCCUUCUUUGUCACAGCCAGUGGAAGGGGGGCUCAGCACCACAUUUCCUCUUGGAAGAAAAGGUCGCAAGGAUCCAGGACCAGCAGCGCCUCCAAGGUCAUCAGCACGGCAACAACACAUGAAGCAAUUAGGAGUGGCCUCCGGCGUCCUGCACUGACUUCCUGCGGCUUCUGCCCCGCUACUCCCUAGCUCCACUACUGGUGAAACUGAAGCCCUUCCUCGGGAUCUCUGAUCUCACUUUCUUCCGCUACAAUGAAGACCUGGAAGAAUCUGUUCACUGAUGACCAGGGCUGGUGUGUGAGCAUGCACACCGAAAUACUGUUAGGAAACCUCUUUCAUCAAAAUUAUAAAAGCCAGAGCUGCUUACUGGGUGUCAGAAGCAGAUAGGAUGAUACAUGUGCUCUGCAACCAUAAAAUACAAUGUUCCAAUCAAAUGAUAAAUCAUGCUUAUAUGAUUUUUAUAUCUCCCGUUAGAAGAAAAAGAAUUAUACUUUCUUCUCACACCUCCCCUUGCCCUUUUUUUUUUUUUUUUUAAAGCAGUGUGCAUCUUUCUGAAACUUCUAGUGAGUCUCAAGUCAUGACAACCUGGGUCAGAGUCAGUACAAAUGGGACAAACCUGGGGGAGAAGAAAGGGGAAGAUGUGGCCCUAGUAGCUUAUGGUAGAUUCUCGGUCAUUGAAUGCUCUGUCCAGCCCACCAUUGUCCUUGGGUGGGAGAGGUGAAUAAUGUUGGAAAAGAUAGAAGAUAUUGCUGGCAUCUUCUUUGUUAUUGUCCCCUACAAAAUGCAGUGGAUGCUACCAGACAUUUUGAGACUCAAUCCUUAUGGAAAAGUAAGAACCAAAAGAACUAUUUCCUGCAAACAAGUAUCUCCCAUUUGACUUUAUAAGAAAAUCUGGGCCGGGUGUGGUGGCUAAUGCCUGUAAUCCCAGCACUUUGGGAGGCCAAGGCUGGUGGAUCACGAGGUCAGGAGAUCGAGACCAUCCUGGUUAGCAUGGUGAAACCCCGUCUCUACUAAAAAUAUAAAAAAUUAGCCGGGCGUGGUGGCUGGCGCCUGCAGUCCCAGCUACUCAGGAGGCUGAGGGAGGACAAUGGCAUGAGCCUAGGAGGCAGAGCUUGCAGUGAGCCGAGAUCAUGCCACUGCACACCAGCCUGGGGGACAGGGCAAGACUCCAUUUCAAAAAAAAAAAAAAA